AAGUGGGCUUAGCCUCUCUUCCUCCGAGCGAAACACCCAGAACCAACCACUCUCACCGCCUGCGUUUCUUCCUCCCGGCCAGCCGCCGCGUCGACAUUCGAGCUCGGCCUGAGAUGCCGCCGGCGAAGCAGGUCGCCACCGCAGCCUUAGCCAGCCGCGUGCACCACCGCCCUCCACCGAGAUCUCGCCCCUUUUCGCGUGUGAGAGGAGAACGCACACCUUCCACCUUGCGUUCUUGCCACCGUUGCCUCCACCUAAGACGGCCGUCGCGAGUUGCGGCGGAGGUGCUUCCUCACCGGCGCCACCAGCGCCGUUCUCCUCCCUCUCCAUUCGAGGGUUUUCUUUCCUUUCCCUUAAACGCCAGCGCCUCCAGCAGCACCACCGCCGAUGUCGGGGACGAAAAUGAUUUUUUUUGCUUUAUUGGUUAAUUCAUCUAUCAAUUGAUGUUUUGUUUACUGGGAUUGGAAACAUUGGAGUGUGUGUUGGGUGCUAGAAGUUGGUCUUUGUUCUUGGUGAUUAGUUUUUAUUUCUGUUGCUUUGUGCAGUGCAUGUUGAGAAUGGUGGUGUUAUGCUUGAGCUGGGAUGGAGAUUCUAAUGAGGAUGAAGAUACUGGUUAUAUUUUUUUGUUGUGUUUUCCUGAUAAGUAUCUAGCUUAACAGCAAAGGGGAUGGUGAUGAUGGGUAAGAAAGUAGGCUACUAUAGUGGCCGGAGAUGAUGGUGAGUGAGAACGAAGAGCAGAUAAGACAAGCAAGGCAAUAGGAAGCAUAAAACUCAUACACGGGGGCAGAGCAAUAGAAAGCAUAAAACGCAAUAGCAAGCAUGGAUUGCAGUCCAUAAUACAGCAAACUUACUCCAUUAUACAUCCUAACAUGAACGAGUAAAUGAGUGAAGGAGUUGCUUACCUGAGUUUCUGUGCUAUUGCUGAUGAUCUCCUCUCUUUUCUUGGCCGGCCUCCCUUUUGUUUCUUUCUUUUCUUGUAAAUUGAGUACGCCUCCUCCAGGAAUGGAAUGGAUGAUGAAGGUGACUCUUGAUGGAAGCAAAGGCUAGAGUGUGAACUGGUACGGUGGCUCUCAAAUGUUAAUGGAGGAUGCAGAUGGUUCAAAGGAUGAGAAUGCAGAUGUUGUUGAAUGGAGAAUGCAGAUGUGGAAUGUUGUUGAAGGAUUUUUUAAUGUUGUAUAACAGAUGGAUGAAGCCAAAGAAUGGCUAUUCGCGGAGGUAAAUGAGAAGAAGAUAUUCUGUAUUUUUUUUUUGUCGUGAGAACUUGGCUUAGUGAUGAGAAAUGGGAUUUAUUCGAGGUCGAGUGAAUAGAGGAAUAGUGUGAGAGUAAUGCUUCUCUGAGUGAAAAAAUGGUUUCUGUUAAACAUCCCCCGGUUGGGGAAAAAAUGGUUCCUCCUUUUGUUGUUUUGGUUCCUGCACCUUGCGUGAGGAGGCUAAAGCCUGACACUCCAUUGCUUCCUGCUCCAGCCAUCCCUGGUGCUUGUGCAUUCCUUUUUCUUCUUAAGGCAAUUAGCUAAAAUAAUUUAGGCUUGAAGCCACUGAGCUAAAGAUUUCCACCCAAAAUUGGGUGACGCAC
rnacentral:lncRNA from 1 species